rnacentral:lncRNA from 1 species
CUUACGGUCAACGAUGACAAAGUUGAUGCCGAAAUAUUUAGAUCUAUCAAUGAUAGUGAUCUCAUAUCCUGCUGAUGCGAACGAUGAAAGUAAGGCCAUAUGCACCCUUUACAAAGUCUUUGAAGAGAGCCCCUUCCGCCAUGGUAACCUACAAUGUGUAAAAGUUCACACGAUUCAGAGCUAGUUACAGUAUAAAAAACGAAGAGUAAGUAAGCUAAAAGAGGAUUUGAGCAGCCGUUUUGUACAUAUCAUGAGUGGAAAUGUGAAAACUGAAAAUUAAGACUGAAUAUAAUAGAUAGGUUCAGCAAUGUUAAGUUAUGAUUUUUUUGUCUGACAUGUAAAAAUAAAAACAGCAGCAACAGAAUUGCAAGAACAAUACGUAAGCGACAACAAAAAAAUGUAAUACAUUAGGAAUUACGGAAAGCAGGGAGGUUAAUAAUAAUGUGCAAGUAGUAGCAGCUUUAUCUAUAUAAUUUUGUUUUGUAAAAGCAACAACCCUUUUUUUUCUUUAUGCACAUAACAAUACAAAACAUAGAUAUCUAAAUGAAAACUACAUCACGGUAAAUCCUACUCUCUUAUGGAACUACAUCAGCAUUCAAGUAAGGUGUAGUCUGUCAGUAUGUGGCUGCAUCGUGUCUACUUCUCGCUUACACCCAAUGCCAAUGGCUCGAGUAUUCUCUUUGGCAAUCUGCAAUCGUAGGCUCGUAGCUGUCAACAUCGUUGUCACACGUUGUUUUCUGUUGCAUUAUUGGGGUGUUUGUCUUAUCAGUUACAUCCCAUGGGUCAAACAACAUACAUUUUUCCCCUGUGGUUUGCUUCAACGUCUCAAAUACAACAAUAUACACUGGGAGAGCUACAUGUUUGAAAAAUAGGCUAUGGCUCGCCGAUUGUGUAGUAAACAUAAUGGAGGUUGAUGGGUAAAUUGUGUCAUGAUGGUAAAAAAAGUUAGCUUUCUUUGACUAGCUUGCCCAGGUAUGCUGCUGUAGCUCCGCCACUUACAGUUAUCUUUUUGUGAGUUCAGUUUGCUUCCUAUGGCAAGAACCAAACAGUUGAAAGUGUGCUUCUGCUCCGGAGCUCAAAUGAGCUCGGGCGAACAGUAAAAUAAAAAAAAAGUAAUUUUUUUUAAAAUGAAUUUUUUGUGAUAAGCGUUGGAAAAAGUUUUAAGUGCUUGUAAAAAUACGUCAUGAAAUCACAUUUCGAUAAGGCGUGGUAAAAAACAAAUUCAGUGCUCCAACAUGUAGAGAUCACAUCAGCAACUAAUUAAUAAUAACCCUCCUCCCAGCCAUUGUGUCCUUCAUCUCUCAUUCUCUCAUAUGGCUACAUCACACAUACAUAACAUGCAGUACAGAGCUCGUACGGGAGCACGUCCAUAAACGGCGCCUCCACGAGCUCUCAUACAGGGAGACCAAGAGGGCGAGGCAUGCACAAGUAGCAGUAUGCGGCAGCGGCGAGCAGAAGGAGCACCGCGUGACGGCAAUGGCUAGUAGCACUAAGUGAAAAUCAGAAUCGAUGGAAAGAGCAGUGCAUCUAGGAAACUCACUUGGGAUGUUGGAUUUCUUGGCCUCAGCCGCCGCAGAGUGGGUAGCUACUGGAAGGAGAAGGGGAUAGAUAGACCGAGUGGGCGCUUGUAUUGGACGCUUCCCCUCACGAAUAUCUCAACGACGACGACGUGCUUUUGCAGGAUCAACAGACCCAUCUGCAAGGGGAAAAACAUAAAAAUACAAAAAACUUAACUAAGGUAUGUACAUUAGAUGAAAUCAAAAAGGCAAACAACUACAUCAGCAGGUAUACCAACAAAGGAAGCAUCAACAAUGCUCAAGUGGAAACCAGAUGAUUCCGUGGAAGAAGAAAGCAGAGAAAUUUAUCUUGUACAACCAGAUGAUUUAAGAGACAAAGAAGCACAUCGAGCGGCACGUACACCACAUCAUGAGAAGACGCAACGGAUGACCGCUCAGGCGAAGAACGUAUAGAAAUCACGCUCGGAAAACAUCCAUGUAGUGAUUCGAGGGAUUCAACCAGAGGAAAAGGGGUCUCGAAGGAGCCACAAAUUGGAGAAUCGAACCUGUUGACCCGACUACGGACGCCGCCGCGACGGACGCCGCGACCACGCACGCCGCGCCAAGGCAAAAGAACAGACGACCCCCCACGGACGCCCCACACGGCAUAAGAGCUACCGCUGCCGACCGCCGACGGACGCCUCGAGCAGAUUGGUCGGCCGCCGCGACCAUGGUGGCGACCGAACCGAGAGGAGAGAAGGGCGAUGCUUCGUAUACUCCGUAUUGGUGAAAAUAAAAGGCCAACGAAGCCCAAGUAUACGUGUCAAUAUGUGAAGGAACAGCCCACCGCUUAACUGAAACAAUAUUGAAGCAUGUGCUCCAGUCCAGCAGAGUAAAAGAAGAAAGAAUAGAAAGGAAAUCAGGAACGCGUGUCAACCUAUGGUAACUCCUCGCUCACAACGGAAGUGCACGACGGGAUCCC